UUUAGUUAAAUUUCAAAUAUAACAGGGGUAUUUAUGAAAUAAAGUAAGUAAUUGACCAUUAAAUAUAAGAGGGGUAAAGUUGGAAUUUAAAUAUUAUUAACUUCAAUUUGGAUGGGCACUUAAUGGUAGGGUUAUUUUUGAAAGUUUUUUAAAUUUAGGAGGGUAUACAUGAUAUUUCAAUUUUUAGAUGGGUAUUUAUGAAAUUAGAUAGUUUUAGAAGGGUAUUGAGGAAAUUUUUCCAAAAACUUUGGUAUAAAUAAAGUUUCUACCAUUAAAUUAAAAUCUAAUAGAUAAAAUCUCAUAAAUUUAUUUUCUAUAUAUAUUCUUUUUAAUCCUUCUAACUUGUUAUUCGUGAGCCAACUCGUGUUCAACUCGUCAAAAAAAUAAGCUGAACACGAGUUAAAUUUUUUGGCUCGAUACUUGAACGAAGCAGCUCAUGUUGAAACGAGCCGAA
rnacentral:lncRNA from 1 species